CAGACACUGAUUGAUGAGUGUAGGCUAAGGUGUCGUAAUGGCUAGCACAGCUUUGUUUUGUAUUGUUACACCUGGUAACACUGCUGUUUAGAUGCAGUGGGAGCUGGGACUUAAAGGCACAACUCACUGCGUUCCCCGGCGCCCUGGACGAUGCCUGCACCCUUCUGUCUGGCUCUGCUGCUUGCUGCUCUUGCUCUAGGGGGAGAUUUCGGUGCCAAAGGACACAUUACCGUGGACAAUUUUGAAAGUAUUGCUACAGUCCCUGAGAACAGUCCUCCAAGAACCAGGAUUUCUGAGUUCCAGAUAAUUGUGGACAACUCUACCCUUGUUCAAAUCACUGUCACUUCCAUACCAAAAAGCGAAUUCUUUCAGAUACUUUGGAGGAAGACUCACGAGAACAGAACUGGAAACCACUUCCAAGCAGAGAUAUUUCUGAGCAAUCAUGCCUCGUUGGAUCAUGAGAGGACUCCGAUGUAUGUGCUCACCAUUUCGAUCUUUGCUGAUAAGAUGGAACCGCUGAUGGAAAAGCUCAGGCUGAACGUAGUCGGUGUCCAUGAUGUGCGGUGUGGUGAACAUUUCCAGGCACCAGGAGGAGACACAGUCAAUGUGCUGGAAACUGCCACACCUCUCUCGCAAAUCUACACCGUUGUCUUGGCACCCACCUACUCAGAGAAUUUCUCAUAUGCCAUCACCAAAUCCAUUCCCAUAUCUGCGAAGGACUUCUUCAGUGUAGACUGGUCAGGCAGCAUCUAUGUCCCACCCAGUGGCUUUGGACGACAGCAUGUGGAGAGGCAUUUCAGACUCCACAUUGUGGUGACGGAGAACAGCGACACCAUCUGCACAGGAAUGGUGACGAUUGUCGUGAUUCCAGUCCAUCACUGGCCUCCUGUCUUCACGCGGGUCCCGCGUACUGUCAGCAUCCCGGAGAACCAAGGGCCGGAGUUCUACGUGACCAAGGUCAGUGCUGCAGGAGAGGGAGUGCACUUUCACCUGGCCACCUCCCACCCCUCCUUCCAGCUGGGUGAAGCCAGUUAUUCAGAUGAUGCAGCAGCUCCUCCCAGAGGCAGGAGGGAGAACUACACACUGAAAAGAGCAAAGGCUGAAUCAGAAACAGACACCGGGAUCAUCAGAACUACGAGCAACCUGGACCUGGAUCAGAACCCUGGGCUUGCUGUCAGUCUGCUGGUGAUCACUGCCUAUGAUGACAGCUACCUCUGCAGCUCAUUGGCUAACGUCACGGUGUACGUGACUGAUGUGAAUGACAACAGUCCUGUCUGCACUCCACCCAUCUUUGUGACAGAGAUCCCAGAGACAACUCCCGUGGGCUCAACCCUUUUUCAGCUGUCGUGCAGUGACGCUGAUUACACCAACACCAACCUGUUGUACAGCAUCGUCCCCAGUGACAACUCACAAUUUAAAUUUGUGUAUGAAGAUCACAGUGUGAAGCUCAACGAGAGCCUCAAUUAUGACUCCGCUCAGAUGGCAACAGUGGACUUCCGCCACACGGCUGUGAUCACUGUGGUGGACAGUGGAGUGCCUCCUCUGACCACCACAGUCUCACUGCUGGUGAUCGUCAGCCAGGUCAAUGAGUUCCCUCCCGUCUUUCAUGGUCCCAAAGAGUUCACUGUUCCCGAGAACAGCGCAGGGAACACACGAGUGGGUGUGGUGAAUGCUACCGAUGCUGACUGGAUCUACAACAACAUUCAGUUCUCCAUUGUGGGGCACAUCCCACCCAUCUUCUACAUCCACCCCUUCACCGGUGAAAUUAACACAUUGGUCCCACUUGACUUUGAAAAAGUUGACACCUACGUGCUUACAAUCCAGGCUGUGGACAUGAAUUAUGAUGUGGCAUUUGAUAGUUCUCAGCAGAGGACAAGCUAUGCCCAGUACACCAUCUACGUCAAGAACGUAAAUGACAUCCCUCCUGUCUGCAGCCCUCCUUUCUACAAGGAGACUAUCUACUCCACACUUGCAGAAAAUGUUCCCAUCGUUACGCUGUCCUGCACUGACAGGGACUCAGAACAACUCAUCUACAGGAUAGUUGGUGGGAAUACAAACAGUCGCUUUUCUUCUCGCGGGAGCUCCCUGUUCUCCAGGAACGACUUCUCAUACAAUAUGGAUGGGGUCAUCGAUCCGACAACAUUUGAACUACUAAUUCAGGUCACUGAUGUCAACGAUGCUGAUUCAAAGCUUCAGCUCACCACCACGGCGAUUGUCACCGUCCACGUUAUUCCAUGGACCAGCACGCUGCCAGUGACAAGAACACCUGUCCACAAGGUGGUGACUCUGCUGGACAAGUACUGGAAGCCCCAGCCCUGGUUUGUGGUGCUCCUGACGGUGGUGGCAGUCCUGACUGCAGGGACCCUCGCAUUGAUGCUCUAUCGGUCAAGGGCUUUGUGCUUUAAUCGGAUUUUCCCACAGAGUGAAGUAUCCCAGCACUUGCUACUGGACAGGUAGGACUACAUGCAUGGGGUACCUCUCUCUAUAACCCCAGGCUGUGUUGGGGCAGAUGCUCCAGUCCUCCACUUCUGCCUCCAACCUGUCUUCCCUCCCUGUCUAUCAGUGUGGUUUGUAUUCGUGACCCUGUUGCUGUGUCACUGUUCACCCUCUCUACGGAAUUUUGUCCCUUUGUAAUUUUGUGUGGCUGACAACUACGAAACUCGAGCUAUUCAUUCUGUUUGGAUCCUGGCAUCACCAGGAAGACAUGUAUUUAAUGCCCACCGCUAAGUGCCGUUGAGAAUAUGUUAAUGGCCUGCUUUCUUGAGCCGCUGCUGUCUGUCGUUGAAGGUGUUCCCACAGAUCUGCUGGGGAGGGAGUUCCAGGGUGCUGGACGAUGGAAUACUGAGCUGUCGGAGGAAACCUUCUGGGCCACCGUGGUGUGCUGAACUGAAGAAGCAGAUGAUGCCAAAUUAAACGAGCCCCUCUUGUCGGUACAUGGUUCAUCUCUCUCCUUUCACAUGCCUAUCUGAGGGGCUCUUAGAACACAGAACAUAGAACAUUAUAGCACAGUACAGGCCCCUUGCCCCACUAUGCUGUGCCGACUUCUUAACCUACUCUAAGAUCUAACCCUUCCCUCCCACAGAGCCCUCCAUUUUUCUAUCAUCCAUGUGCCUAUCUAAGAGCUUCUUAAAUGCCUGUAAUAAGUCUGCCUCUUCCACCACCCAUGGCAGUUCAUUCCUCUUACCUCUGACAUCCCUACUCCACUUUCCUCCAAUCACCUUAAAUUUAUGCCCUCUCACCUUACUUAUUUCCGCCCUGUAUCAGUUCAGCACCUGAACCCUGGACUCUUGGAUUAAAAGUUUGAUGAGCUACCCAGUCUCCACAACUCUAAAGCUGAUGAUAUCAUUUGAAGUGCAGCCGUUUCUGCCAAUGGGUGGCCUGCCCUGUGUUUCUGCUACCUGGGUGCACCAGGGAUUGGCCAGAGUGAAAGAAGGGAAGGCUAUGGUCAGAGGCCUAGUGUUCGACACCUCAGUGAGAACUAGAGCAGAGGUCAAAGUCGAAGUAAAUGUAUUAUCAAAGAACAACUACGUCACCAUAUACAACUUUGAGAUUCAUUUUCUUGCAGACAUUUACAGGAAAAUAAAGAAGUACAAUAGAAUUUAUAUAAAAAACUGCAGAUAAACAAAGACAGACAAAUAACCAAUGUGCAAGAGAGACAAAUUGUGAAAAUACAUAAACAAAUACACUGAGAACAUGAAUUGUAGAGUCCCUGAAAGUGGGUCCAUAGGUUGUGAAAUCAGUUGAUUGUUGAGGUGAGUGAAGUUAUCCACACUGGUCCUGAUGGUUGAAGGAUAAUAACUGUUCUUGAAUCUGAUGCUCUGGGACCUGAGGCUCCAGUACCUCCUGCCUGAUGGGUGUAGCAAGAAGUCUGUUAAAGAUGGCGCAAGAUGCUGUGAUGCUUUAUAGGCAGCAGGCAAAACUACUAACAAUUUUAUUAAUUACACUUUUCCUGGGUGAUGAUUACUGCACUCCACAGCCUGGAAUUUCCCUUUGGGAGCUGUGCUUUUCAACUGUCUGUAUGACCUGGAGUGUUCUGCAGUUUCCUGAAGAAUUCAGCAAACUGGGCUCUCAAGAAUGCAGGUUCUUUUGAAGACCCUGACCUGAGUUACACUCUGACUUCAGUUCAUUGUGGGAAUGGGACCCGCUCUCAGGGCCUCACCGCCGGCUGCUUUUUGAUAAGCCAAGGACACAGUCUGGAAGACUAACGCACCUGCAGGGUGAGACAUCAUGGGAGACCAUGGAACAUUGGGAGCAGAGGGUUAGCAGCCGUGGGCUGUGUAUAGCGAGACCUGGGCUCACUCACCUCAGCUCUGAACUGACUCUGCAGCCAUCAGGCUCCCGGACUGGCUCCGUGUCAGGGACUCCGCAGUUCAUGUUCUGCGUGGUUUUGUUCGCUUUUUAUUGUUUGCAUAAUUUCUUUUUUUUCACCUGGAUGGUGGUGGUGCUUGAGGAUUCUCCCUUGUGAGUGUGCUCGAUGAUGGGAGGACUUUGUCUGUGAUGGACUGGGCUGCAUCCACCACUUUUUGAAGACUUCCCUGUCCUUGGAUGUUGUUUCCAUCGCAGGCCAUGAUACCACCAGUCAGGUUGUGUACCUAUAGUGAUUUGUCAAAGUUUCAGAUAACAUGCUGAAUCUAUGCAAAUUGUAAGGAUGUUGCCGUGCCCUUUUUUCUUGGACUUACGGUGAAUCAGGCAGGACAGUUGUGAAUUGGGAAGUGUGAUUGUUUAUUAAGGUACAAAUGAGGUGCUUACGGAUGUGGUGAACUAUGUGCCUGUCUGGACAUGCCCCCUGCUGACUGCUCCUGUGGCUCCUCCCACAGGCCCCUGUAUAAAGGCGAUCGAGGCCUGAUCCUCGGCCUCAUUCUCCAGGAUGUAAUAUGAUGGUCACUUACUGCUGGUUCCUUCUUCAGUCAAUAAAAGCCGAUAUCUCCC